rnacentral:rRNA from 1 species
GAGUUUGAUCCUGGCUCAGAACGAACGCUGGCGGCGUGGAUAAGACAUGCAAGUCGAGCGCUAAUUACAGGGUAGCAAUAUUCUGUAGUUGGAGCGGCGCAAGGGUGCGUAACACGUGGGUAAUCUGCCAUGAAGUUUGGGAUAACUCGCUGAAAGGCGAGCUAAUACCGAAUGUGACGAUUGGAAGGCAUCUUCUGAUCUUCAAAGUUGGGGACCGUAAGGCCUGACGCUUCAUGAUGAGCCCGCGGCCUAUCAGCCAGUUGGUGAGGUAACGGCUCACCAAGGCUAAGACGGGUAGCUGGUCUGAGAGGACGACCAGCCACACUGGAACUGAGACACGGUCCAGACACCUACGGGUGGCAGCAGUCGAGAAUUUUUCACAAUGGGGGAAACCCUGAUGGAGCGACGCCGCGUGGGGGAUGAAUGGCUUCGGCCCGUAAACCCCUGUCAUUCGCGAACAAUGCCUGUAUAUUAACACCAUACAGGUUGAUAGUAGCGGAAGAGGAAGGGACGGCUAACUCUGUGCCAGCAGCCGCGGUAAUACAGAGGUCCCAAGCGUUGUUCGGAUCCACUGGGCGUAAAGGGUGCGUAGGCGGUCGGGUAAGUCUGAUGUGGAAUCUCACAGCUUAACUGUGAAACUGCAUUGGAUACUAUUCGGCUUGAGGUCUGGAGGGGGGACUGGAAUUCUCGGUGUAGCAGUGAAAUGCGUAGAUAUCGAGAGGAACACCAGUGGCGAAGGCGAGUCCCUGGACAGUCCUGACGCUGAGGCACGAAAGCUAGGGGGAGCAACAGGAUUAGAUACCCUGAUAGUCCUACUCGUAAACU